CGAACGGGUGAGUAACACGUGAGUAACCUGCCCUUAACUCUGGGAUAAGCCUGGGAAACUGGGUCUAAUACCGGAUAUGACUCCUCAUCGCAUGGUGGGGGGUGGAAAGCUUUUUGUGGUUUUGGAUGGACUCGCGGCCUAUCAGCUUGUUGGUGAGGUAAUGGCUCACCAAGGCGACGACGGGUAGCCGGCCUGAGAGGGUGACCGGCCACACUGGGACUGAGACACGGCCCAGACUCCUACGGGAGGCAGCAGUGGGGAAUAUUGCACAAUGGGCGCAAGCCUGAUGCAGCGACGCCGCGUGAGGGAUGACGGCCUUCGGGUUGUAAACCUCUUUCAGUAGGGAAGAAGCGAAAGUGACGGUACCUGCAGAAGAAGCGCCGGCUAACUACGUGCCAGCAGCCGCGGUAAUACGUAGGGCGCAAGCGUUAUCCGGAAUUAUUGGGCGUAAAGAGCUCGUAGGCGGUUUGUCGCGUCUGCCGUGAAAGUCCGGGGCUCAACUCCGGAUCUGCGGUGGGUACGGGCAGACUAGAGUGAUGUAGGGGAGACUGGAAUUCCUGGUGUAGCGGUGAAAUGCGCAGAUAUCAGGAGGAACACCGAUGGCGAAGGCAGGUCUCUGGGCAUUAACUGACGCUGAGGAGCGAAAGCAUGGGGAGCGAACAGGAUUAGAUACCCUGGUAGUCCAUGCCGUAAACGUUGGGCACUAGGUGUGGGGGACAUUCCACGUUUUCCGCGCCGUAGCUAACGCAUUAAGUGCCCCGCCUGGGGAGUACGGCCGCAAGGCUAAAACUCAAAGGAAU
rnacentral:rRNA from 1 species